rnacentral:rRNA from 1 species
CCUACGGGUGGCAGCAGUGAGGAAUAUUGGUCAAUGGACGAGAGUCUGAACCAGCCAAGUAGCGUGAAGGAUGACUGCCCUAUGGGUUGUAAACUUCUUUUAUAUGGGAAUAAAAUGUUCCACGUGUGGGAUUUUGUAUGUACCAUAUGAAUAAGGAUCGGCUAACUCCGUGCCAGCAGCCGCGGUAAUACGGAGGAUCCGAGCGUUAUCCGGAUUUAUUGGGUUUAAAGGGUGCGUAGGCGGAAGGUUAAGUCAGCGGUAAAAUGUCGGUGCUCAACACCGGCCUGCCGUUGAAACUGGUCGUCUGGAGUGAGCGAGAAGUAUGCGGAAUGCGUGGUGUAGCGGUGAAAUGCAUAGAUAUCACGCAGAACUCCGAUUGCGAAGGCAGCAUACCGGAGCGCAACUGACGCUGAGGCACGAAAGCGUGGGGAUCGAACAGGAUUAGAUACCCCAGUAGUC